rnacentral:rRNA from 1 species
AUUGAACGCUGGCGGCAGGCCUAACACAUGCAAGUCGAGCGGAGCGGCGGACGGGGGAGGAAUGCCAAGGAAUCUGGAUGGGAGUGGGGGAGAACGUCAGGAAACGGGCGCGAAUACCGCAUACUAUCAGAUGAGCCUAGGCCGGAUUAGCUAGAUGGUGGGGUAAAGGCCUAGCAAGGCGACGGUCAGUAACUGGUCUGAGAGGAUGAUCAGUCACACUGGAACUGAGACACGGCCCAGACUCCUACGGGAGGCAGCAGUGGGGAAUAUUGGACAAUGGGCGAAAGCCUGAUCCAGCCAUGCCGCGUGUGUGAAGAAGGUCUUCGGAUUGUAAAGCACUUUCAGUUGGGAGGCGUUACCAACAGAAUAAGCACCGGCUAACUUCGUGCCAGCAGCCGCGGUAAUAC